AAAGGUCCACGGGUUAUGCUGGGAAGAAUCAUCGGGUUAUGCCGAAAAAGGUCCACGGGUUAUGCCGGGGAAAUCAUCGGGUUAUGCCGGAAAAGGUCCACGGGUUAUGCCGGGGAAAUCAUCGGGUUAUGCCGGGGAGAUCAUCGGGUUAUGCCGGAAAGAUCAUCAGGUUAUGCCGGAAAAGGUCCACGGGUUAUGCCGGGAAAAAUCAUCGGGUUAUGCCGAAAAGGUCCACGGGUUAUGCCGGGGAAAUCAUCGGGUUAUGCCGGGG
rnacentral:lncRNA from 1 species